CUACGGGACGCUGCAGUAAGGAAUAUUGCGCAAUGGAGGCAACUCUGACGCAGCCAUGCCGCGUGCAGGAAGAAGGCCUUAUGGGUCGUAAACUGCUUUUAUUUAGGAAUAAACCCCCGAACGUGUUCGGGGCUGAAGGUACUAAACGAAUAAGCACCGGCUAACUCCGUGCCAGCAGCCGCGGUAAUACGGAGGGUGCAAGCGUUAUCCGGAUUUAUUGGGCUUAAAGGGUGCGCAGGCGGGCUAUUAAGUCAGUGGUGAAAUCCCGGGGCUCAACUCCGGAACGGCCAUUGAUACUGAUAGUCUUGAGUUUGGUUGAAGUGGGCGGAAUGUAGCAUGUAGCGGUGAAAUGCAUAGAUAUGCUACAGAACACCAAUCGCGAAGGCAGCUCACUAAGCCAAAACUGACGCUCAUGCACGAAAGCGUGGGGAUCAAACAGGAUUAGAUACCCCUGUAGUC
rnacentral:rRNA from 1 species